UAUCUCUGUAGAGUCUGCAUAUCAAUAAGCGGAGGAAAAGAAACUAACAAGGAUUCCCUUAGUAACGGCGAGUGAAGCGGGAAGAGCUCAAAUUUGAAAUCUUCAAGGUUCUACCUUGACGAAUUGUAGUUUAAAGAAGUGUUUUCUGUUGGAGUUUUGGUAAAAGUUCUUUGGAAUAGGACAUCAUAGAGGGUGAGAAUCCCGUAUUUGACCAUUAUUUCCAGCUGUGUGAUACACUUUCAAAGAGUCGGAUUGUUUGGGAAUGCAGUCCAAAAUGGGUGGUAAAUUUCAUCUAAAGCUAAAUAUUGGCGAGAGACCGAUAGCGAACAAGUACCGUGAGGGAAAGAUGAAAAGAACUUUGAAAAGAGAGUUAAACAGUACGUGAAAUUGUCAAAAGGGAAGCGUUUGACACCAGUGUUGUUUUCCUCGAAAAUCAAUUAAAAAAGUUAGGAUUUUGUGUUGUAUUGACUUUAUCAGCUUUCUGCACUCUUUUCUUGUCUUUUUUAAUGCACUUUUCGUUUAACAAGUCAACAUCAAUUUCUUUUGUUGUAAAAGGGUCAUUGGAAGGUGGCUUUCUUUUCGGAGAAAGUGUUUAUAGCCUUUGGCCUCUGCAAUCGGAGAGAUUGAGGUCUGCAGCGUAGAUCCUUCGGGGUUAGAUACAUUUGUGCUAAGUUGUAGCUUUUCAUAGACAACUUGUUGACUAUGUUUAGUCAUGCGGCUUACUCGCUUGUGCUAUUUUACCUACGCUUAGGAUGUUGAAGAUGUAGCACAUCAU
rnacentral:rRNA from 1 species